CAGUGGAGUUGCUCCAGGAAGAAGUGACGAAAGUUAUCAGCGAUGUCAAAUAUGUUACAUCACAGCUGAAGGACGAUACAAGUGGAAUCAGGGCACAGUUCAAAGAUUUCUUUAAGGCUGCUUUGAAAUGCAGUAAUGAACUUCAGCAGGCUAUGAAUAAGGUGAAGACUUGUACUCAUGCUUUAGCCAAACAUUUCUGUGAAGAUCCCAAGAAAUUCAAGCCAGAAGAAUGUUUUCAUUUGUUUGCUGAGUUUUUUACCAUAAUUCAGAGAGUUCGACUGGAAAAUGAAGAGAAAAAGAAAGCAGAACGGCAGCAAAUUCAAGAGCAAAUGGAAAUAAACAAACUAACUGCAAGCGGAGG